AUUGAUGAUCUUGCCAACUUGGUAGAAAAUACUGAUGACAAGCUGCGCAGCCAAACCAGACGUGUGAAGAUGGUCGACAAAAAGUCAGCUUCCUGUGGGAUGAUGGUGGUGAUCGUGUUGCUGCUGAUUGCGAUUGUCGUUGUUGCUGUGUGGCCUACCAAGUAGCCACUGGAGGUAUCACUUGGCAGCAGCAUAUUAACAGCCCUCCAAGGCAAGGACUGCUCCAUCUCACUGUGGCCGAUUCCCAUGGACUUGGCUGCAUCUGCCCAGUUGUGGGUACCCUGACAGAUGCACUUGUCAGAUGGAAGAUUUCCUUUCACACAAGUCUGUCUCGUUGGACUUCAUAUUUUCACAAAAGUGACUGGAAGGAAAUUGUUCUCCUAAUGAAGAU